AACACUGUUAACCUGCGGUACCUGCGGAGGGAUCAUUACAAGAAUGGAGGCUGGCGCUGCCCACUGCAUGGGUCGCGUCCAGUCCCGCUCUCUACCUUGCCUACUGCACCGUUUGUUGCUUCCUGGCGGUGGCAUCCCGCCGCCAGGUUCUUUCAAAAGCCAAGUAUAAGCAUUGAAACUCCUGACUUGCACUAAAUCGUACAACUUUCAACAAUGGAUCU
rnacentral:misc_RNA from 1 species